AAGCCUACGGGGGGCAGCAGUGGGGAAUAUUGGGCAAUGGGCGCAAGCCUGACCCAGCAACGCCGCGUGAAGGAAGAAGGCUUUCGGGUUGUAAACUUCUCUUAUCAGGGACGAAACAAAUGACGGUACCUGAUGAAUAAGCCGCGGCUAACUACGUGCCAGCAGCCGCGGUAAUACGUAGGUGGCAAGCGUUGUCCGGAAUUACUGGGUGUAAAGGGAGCGCAGGCGGGAAGCCAAGUCAGCUGUGAAA
rnacentral:rRNA from 1 species